rnacentral:rRNA from 1 species
ACGUAGGGGGCGAGCGUUGUCCGAAGUUACUGGGCGUAAAGCGCGCGUAGGCGGUUAUUUAAGUCUGGGGUGAAAGGUUCAGCGCUCAACGUGAACAGUGCCUUGGAUACUGGAUGACUUGAGUCUGGGAGGGGGAAGGGGAAUUCCUGGUGUAGCGGUGAAAUGCGUAGAUAUCAGGAGGAACACCGGUGGCGAAGGCGCCUUCCUGGCCUAAGACUGACGCUGAGGUGCGAAAGCGUGGGGAGCAAACGGGAUUAGAUACCCCGGUAGUCCACGCCGUAAACGAUGAGUGCUAGGUGUCGGGGGUAUCGACCCCCCCGGUGCCGUCGCUAACGCAUUAAGCACUCCGCCUGGGGAGUACGGCCGCAAGGUUG